rnacentral:rRNA from 1 species
AUGUGCACAAUUUUAUCAAAUUUACCUGCAAAAGAGGCUGUACGGUCUAGUGUUUUGUCCAGCGAGUGGAGAUCUAUAUGGACAACUUGCCCCAAACUGAGUUUCAAUGCCAAGGAUCAUGUGCCUAGGCAUGGAGGGAAACAAUAUGCCCAGAUGUUCAUAGACCAUGUUAAUGCAGUCUUGAAAAAGCACCACGGCAAGGUUGUCGACAAUCUUGAGAUAAAAUUCGUAUUUGAGAGCAAGCUAGUUUACCAUCUCAACAGUUGGAUAAGGUUUGCUAUGUCCUCCCGGACUAAGAAUCUAUCAUUUGAUUUGGCACCACUGCCGGAAUUUUGGAAAUAUAGGAAUCAUUACAGGUUCCCGUUUGAACUUUUAGACAUGGAUAGUGUAUCCUGUCUACGUUGUCUUCAACUCAGAUUUGUAUGUUUCAAACCACCCCCUUCCCAGUUUCCAGGUUUCCCAAACCUAAGAAACAUAGUCAGGUGUGAUCUGGACGAUGAACUGAAGGUGGUCCAGCGACCAUUGUCCAAUCUGCAGUACCUAAGAGUCAAAUUCUGCGGGUUCACCAAGAUAGAGUUCCAUGCUGCCAAGCUCUCCACCUUUGUGUAUAAAGGGGACUGCAUACCUAUUGCCUUCCAUCAAGCUCCCGAGAUGGAAAAUGCAGAAAUUUGUUUCUGUGCUUCUACCUUUCGGCGUGGUUCAGCUGUGGUUCUCAAUGGGCUUCCACAUGUUCCGAACCUCACUUUGAAAAUUUCAGUUGAAGUGCUAGAGACUACAUGGACAUCAGAUAGCCAUUACAUGUUCCCGCAGCUCAAGCAUCUGCAGAUAAUAUUGGCUGUAGAUCAUAAACAUGAUGACAAGAUUCUCUACUUGGUUCCCCUUUUGAGGGCUGCUCCGUUUAUUGAACACUUGGAAGUACAUGUGAGUAUUUUCUUGUCGGAUCACCUUUGUAGACAAGACAUUCCACAAUCCGAACACAAAUACCUACACCUGAAGAAGAUGCAUGUCACCGGAUUCAAAGCCACCAAAGGCCAGCUUCAACUCCUGUUUCAUGUCGUGGAGAACGCCCCUGCGAUAGAGACUCUCGCCGUAGAUACAAUUCAAAGACAGUAUGAUCUGUUGGAUACAUAUGAGAUUCUCCCGGCGCUCCGCAACUCCGCCCUUGAUAUUGUCAGGGAUCCUCUCUCUAAGAGACUUCCACCAGAUGCCAAGCUCUACCUUCUGUAA